CAAGUCCUUUGCAAUGGAGAUCAGAGAUCCUGAGACAAAGAGGCAUCUGUCAAAUCUCCCUCAAGAACUGUCUUUCAGGGGGAUCCCUCAGGAAGAUCCAAUUCAGGACACCUCAGGAGGGAAGAAUAGAAGGAAGUCGACUCUUUGUUUUGGGGGAGCAGAAACUAGGAUUGAACCUCCAAGUCAGGAGGUUUUUCUGUCCUUUGAGGAGGUGGCUGUUUAUUUCUCUGAGGAGGAGUGGU